rnacentral:misc_RNA from 1 species
GAAAUGCGAUAAGUAGUGUGAAUUGCAGAAUUCAGUGAAUCAUCGAAUCUUUGAACGCACAUUGCGCCCUUUGGUAUUCCAAAGGGCAUGCCUGUUCGAGCGUCAUUUGUACCCUCAAGCUUUGCUUGGUGUUGGGCGUCUUGUCUCUAGCUUUGCUGGAGACUCGCCUUAAAGUAAUUGGCAGCCGGCCUACUGGUUUCGGAGCGCAGCACAAGUCGCACUCUCUAUCAGCAAAGGUCUAGCAUCCAUUAAGACUUUUUUCAACUUUUGACCUCGGAUCAGGUAGGGAUACCCGCUGAACUUAAGC